rnacentral:rRNA from 1 species
AUUGAACGCUGGCGGCAGGCCUAACACAUGCAAGUCGAGCGGAUGAAGGGAGCUUGCUCCUGGAUUCAGCGGCGGACGGGUGAGUAAUGCCUAGGAAUCUGCCUGGUAGUGGGGGAUAACGUCCGGAAACGGGCGCUAAUACCGCAUACGUCCUGAGGGAGAAAGUGGGGGAUCUUCGGACCUCACGCUAUCAGAUGAGCCUAGGUCGGAUUAGCUAGUUGGUGGGGUAAAGGCCUACCAAGGCGACGAUCCGUAACUGGUCUGAGAGGAUGAUCAGUCACACUGGAACUGAGACACGGUCCAGACUCCUACGGGAGGCAGCAGUGGGGAAUAUUGGACAAUGGGCGAAAGCCUGAUCCAGCCAUGCCGCGUGUGUGAAGAAGGUCUCCGGAUUGUAAAGCACUUUAAGUUGGGAGGAAGGGCAGUAAGUUAAUACCUUUCUGUUUUGACGUUACCAACAGAAUAAGCACCGGCUAACUUCGUG